UCUCUUUCUCUCUCUCCCUCUCUUCCUCCCCUUCGCACAGACCCAAAUGGCUACCUACCCCAUCGCCCUCUUUCCCACUCCGUUUCCUCCAACCCCAUUGCCCACUCUCCCACUCCGUCUCCUCCGACUCAUCCUUUUCUAGGGUUUCCUCUUCUCCACCAUUUUCUAGGGUUUCUGACUCACCCGCGUCCUCUCGACCUCGCACGCGAUCGCCGCAUUGGGAGGGAUCAUUCGUCGACCUUCGUGAUCCCUCUUUGCUACUUCUUUUUUGUCGUUUCUGGAUUUGCAGUUUCCAAAUGGGCAGCUCACAUAUGUGGCUGGUGAGGUGUUGACUAGUAGUGCAUUUCUUCCUCUUUUUGGUGGGUUGCUUCAAGCUCAAGGCCGAUAUCCGGGAGAAACAAGAAUUAGCUUUUCUUGCAAGAAUAAGCGAGGUACUCGAAUAACCCCAAUGCUGCAGUUGCCCGAAAAAUCUUUUUCCCUUAGGAUUACAUGGGCCAUAGCUUGGUAGAGAUCCGGCAUCAUGGUUCGACCCAGUGUCCAACUUAGGUCAAUUAUUUGCCUCUUCCAAAAAACUUCAGAAUCUUGAGUCUUCGGGAACUUGCUAUACGUCAGCAUCAUCAAAUCCUUCCAGUGAUAGUUGAUUAUUUCUUUUGUUUUUGGACCUACUAUGUCCUUUAGCAUCAUUUUAUGUUUUGAGCUACUGUGUCAUUUCUAAAAAACUAUUUUUGAAUAUUAGAGUUUUUUAUCAUUUUAUUGAUGUUGAGAAUGUGAGGAACAAUUAGUAUUUUGGUUUCAUUCAAUACUCUUGGCUUAUAUAUGAAUGAAACAACUUUUUUUGCUA